GAGGGUAUAGCUCAGUGGUAGAGUGCGUGCUUAGCAUGCACGAGGUCCUGAGCUUAACCCCCAGUACCAUCA
rnacentral:tRNA from 1 species